GUGAGACUCAGAUCAGAAGAGUCAUUUACCGUUGACCGUGACUCACUGCUCUCAACUGAGCUGUGGACAAUGAGUUCCCAGGACUGGAAGGCGGGAGCAUAGGCUCUGUACCUCUAAGAAGCCCCAACAAGCUGAAUGGAAUUUUGACAGAUGGCAGAGGAAGCGGCAACACUUACCAGAAACUGGACUCGAACCAUCCUAUUGUUAAGAGUAUGAAGAUACUACAAGAGGAGGAACUGACAAAAAUCGGCCUUCGAUGCCCAUGGGAGGGCACAGACGGGCAGAUAGCCUCAGGGGUCUCCCCUCAUGAAAGCAUUUCUAUGUGGACGGCUGUACUGAAUUCAGGAAGGUCACUCACGGAGGGGCAAUUGUGAUGUAUCUGUGUCUCCCCUUUGUUAUUAUUGCUUAGUCA
rnacentral:lncRNA from 1 species